CCUACGGGUGGCAGCAGUGAGGAAUAUUGGUCAAUGGCCGGAAGUCUGAACCAGCCAAGCCGCGUGAAGGACAAAGGUGCCAAGCAUUGUAAACUUCUUUUGUAUAGGGAUAAAAUCAGCCUCGAGAGCCUGACCGAGGGUACUUGAAGAAAAAGCAUCGGCUAACUCCGUGCCAGCAGCCGCGGUAAUACGGAGGAUCCGAGCGUUAUCCGGAUUUAUUGGGUUUAAAGGGAGCGUAGGUGGAUUGUUAAGUCAGUUGUGAAAGUUUGCGGCUCAACCGUAAAAUUGCAGUUGAAACUGGCAGUCUUGAGUACAGUAGAGGUGGGCGGAAUUCGUGGUGUAGCGGUGAAAUGCUUAGAUAUCACGAAGAACUCCGAUUGCGAAGGCAGCUCACUGGACUGCAACUGACACUGAGGCUCGAAAGUGUGGGUAUCAAACAGGAUUAGAUACCCGGGUAGUC
rnacentral:rRNA from 1 species